GGUUAAGCGACUAAGCGUACACGGUGGAUGCCCUGGCAGUCAGAGGCGAUGAAGGACGUGCUAAUCUGCGAUAAGCGUCGGUGAGGUGAUAUGAACCGUUAUAACCGGCGAUUUCCGAAUGGGGAAACCCAGUGUGUUUCGACACACUAUCAUUAACUGAAUCCAUAGGUUAAUGAGGCGAACCGGGGGAACUGAAACAUCUAAGUACCCCGAGGAAAAGAAAUCAACCGAGAUUCCCCCAGUAGCGGCGAGCGAACGGGGAGGAGCCCAGAGCCUGAAUCAGUGUGUGUGUUAGUGGAAGCGUCUGGAAAGGCGCGCGAUACAGGGUGACAGCCCCGUACACAAAAAUGCACAUAUUGUGAGCUCGAUGAGUAGG
rnacentral:rRNA from 1 species